rnacentral:hammerhead_ribozyme from 1 species
ACUCUGACGAGUCCCAAAUAAGAUGAAACGCGCGUCUUAGAU